GCGAGAUAUUAGUGCGGUUCAAUCAAAUAGUCGUCCUCUUUAACUUAUGGAGAUCGGUGUUGUUCGAUUGAGCCGUGCCAAUAUCACGC
rnacentral:pre_miRNA from 1 species